UAUUUGGUUAUUUGGUUCGUCUUGCAUUGUUUAUUCGGUAUUCUGAUUAUUUAGUUAUUUGGCUAUACUAAACUGUAUUGCUCGUUUAAGUGUCUUUCGAUUAAUCGUGAAUAUAAAAUGAGAUGUUGAUUUGCUUUAGUAGUUGUUUGGAUGAUGAGAAUCUAAAUAAAUGAAAGCUUAUUAGGUAUCCUUGGAAAGGGUAGACGAAUCCAGUACAUAGAAAACUCUACUGUGGACAUUAUCUCAGUCGGACGGGGCUGAGAAGUCCCAUACCGGAUGGAUUUUGGGAUAUAUGGUUUACCUUUAUACC
rnacentral:lncRNA from 1 species